rnacentral:rRNA from 1 species
AGAGUUUGAUCAUGGCUCAGAUUGAACGCUGGCGGCAUGCUUUACACAUGCAAGUCGAACGGCAGCACAGGGAGCUUGCUCCCGGGUGGCGAGUGGCGCACGGGUGAGUAAUACAUCGGAACGUGUCCUGUUGUGGGGGAUAACUGCUCGAAAGGGUGGCUAAUACCGCAUGAGACCUGAGGGUGAAAGCGGGGGAUCGCAAGACCUCGCGCAAUUGGAGCGGCCGAUGCCCGAUUAGCUAGUUGGUGAGGUAAAGGCUCACCAAGGCGACGAUCGGUAGCUGGUCUGAGAGGACGACCAGCCACACUGGGACUGAGACCACGGCCCAGGACCUCCGUACGGGAGGGA